rnacentral:lncRNA from 1 species
CGCCGCCCCGGCGCUGCCGCCCGCCGCCCCGGCGUUCGGCGCGGCCCGCGCGCUGCUGGCGCGGCGCCACUCGUGCCUGGUGGCGGCGCCGCGCCGGCGGCACGUGGCGCUGCCCCCGCGCUUCCUGGCCCGCAAGCGCUCCGGCAUCCGCGCGCAGCUGGACGCGGAGCUCCUGCGCUACUCCGAGAGCCUGCAGGGCGUGCCCGUGGCUUACGACAACAUCAAAGUGGUGGGGGAGCUCGGCGACAUCUACGACGACCAAGGAUUCAUCCACCUGGACGUCGAGGCGGACUUCAUCAUCUUCAGCCCCAAGAAAGGGAAGAAGCUGGUGGGCAUAAUUAAUAAAGUGGCCCCUAGUCACAUUGGCUGCCUGAUACAUGGAUGCUUCAAUGCAUCUAUCCCGAAGCCUGAACAAAUGUCCAUUGUACAGUGGCAAGAGCUGGGGUUAAAAAUAGGGGAUGAACUGAAAUUUCAAGUGUUGCACUUGGAUUCUGAUACAGCUGGGGUGUUCUUCAUUCGAGGAGGACUCACUAAAAGCAGCAUGCGGCCCAAAAAAUCUCAUGCAGUCACUGAAAGUACAAAUGGAGAUGAAAUUCAAAAACUUGACCACCAGGAAAAUGGCCUGAAUAACUGUGGGGAAGAUAAUUUCACAGAAGAGCCUUUAAAAGACACAGAUAACCUUGGAAGGGAAAAUGAAGAAGAGACAAGUGUUGAUGCUGUGAAUGGAUUAUGUGAUGAUAAAAAGAAGAAAAAGAAAAAGGACAAGGACAAGCAAGGAGAACAGGAACUUGUAUUGCCUACCAGUGACUCCAGUGGUUACCAAAGUGGCCAUAAAAAAUCAAAGAAAAAGAAAAGAAAGCAUUGUGAUGAAGUUGAAGAAAGUGAAUUAUCUCAGCUGUCAGAAAAACCCAAAGCAAAAAAGAAAAGGACUAAGGUCUGAAGGUUUCCUGCAUAAGAUUUCAGACAUUUUUUAUAAGUUUCAAUAAAACCCUGUUUUGAAAAUGUGUAUCUCCUUUU